GAUGAACGCUGGCGGCGUGCCUAAUACAUGCAAGUCGAGCGAACGGACGAGAAGCUUGCUUUUCUGACGUUAGCGGCGGACGGGUGAGUAACACGUGGAUAACCUACCUAUAAGACUGGGAUAACUUCGGGAAACCGGGGCUAAUACCGGAUAAUAUUUUGAACCGCAUGGUUCAAAAGUGAAAGACGGUCUUGCUGUCACUUAUAGAUGGAUCCGCGCGGCAUUAGCUAGUUGGUAAGGUAACGGCUUACCAAGGCAACGAUGCAUAGCCGACCUGAGAGGGUGAUCGGCCACACUGGAACUGAGACACGGUCCAGACUCCUACGGGAGGCAGCAGUAGGGAAUCUUCCGCAAUGGGCGAAAGCCUGACGGAGCAACGCCGCGUGAGUGAUGAAGGUCUUCGGAUCGUAAAACUCUGUUAUUAGGGAAGAACAUAUGUGUAAGUAACUGUGCACAUCUUGACGGUACCUAAUCAGAAAGCCACGGCUAACUACGUG
rnacentral:rRNA from 1 species